rnacentral:tRNA from 1 species
GGGAUUAUAGUUAACUAUAACAUUUAGUUUGCAUCUAAAAAGUAUUGAAAAUUUAAUUUCAAUUUUUCUCA